AACGAACGCUGGCGGCAGGCUUAACACAUGCAAGUCGAACGCACCUUUCGGGGUGAGUGGCAGACGGGUGAGUAACGCGUGGGAAUCUACCCAUCUCUACGGGAUAGCUCCGGGAAACUGGAAUUAAUACCGUAUACGUCCUGAGGGAGAAAGAUUUAUCGGGGAAGGAUGAGCCCGCGUUGGAUUAGCUAGUUGGUGGGGUAAAGGCCUACCAAGGCGACGAUCCAUAGCUGGUCUAAGAGGAUGAUCAGCCACAUUGGGACUGAGACACGGCCCAAACUCCUACGGGAGGCAGCAGUGGGGAAUAUGGGACAAUGGGCGCAAGCCUGAUCCAGCCAUGCCGCGGGAGUGAUGAAGGCCCUAGGGUUGUAAAGCUCUUUCAGUGGGGACGAUAAGGACGGUACCAACAGAAGAAGCCCCGGCUAACUUCGU
rnacentral:rRNA from 1 species